UCAAAACGGAGAGUUUGAUCCUGGCUCAGGAUGAACGCUGGCGGUAUGCUUAACACAUGCAAGUCGAACGGACUCUUCGGAGUUAGUGGCGGACGGGUGAGUAACGCGUGAGAAUCUGG
rnacentral:rRNA from 19 species